GGAUGAUUCAAGUGCAUUACAUUUACUGUGCACUUUAUUAUUUCAUUGUAAUAUAUAAUGAAAUAAUUAUACAACUCACCAUAAUGUAGAAUCAGUGGGAGCCCCAAGCUUGUUUUCUUGCAACUAGACGUCCCAUCUGGAAGUGACGGGAGACAGUGACAGAUCAUCAGGCAUUAGAUUCUCAUAAGGAGCACACGACCUAGAUCCUCGCAUGCACAGUCCACAACAGGGUUCACGCUCCUCUAAGAAUCCAAUGCUGCUGCUGACCUGACAGAGGUGACCUGACAGAGGUGGAGCUCAGGCAGUAAUGCAAGCAGUGUGAGCAGCUGUAAAUACAGAUGAAGCUUCACUCUCACCUGCAGCUCACCUCCUGCUGUUCAGCGUGGGUGUGGGUGGCUGGGGACCCCUGUGGUAUAUUAUACACCCACAGCAACUUUAGGAGAGAUAAUUUUUCCCAAUAUAACUGCAGAUUAUAAAAUUAAGUCAACAGGUAUUUUUCUUACCCUUCUAUGGUUAUUACUAUUCCAACUAAAUGUAUGAAUGGCCUAAUCUAAUUGUUUUUACAUCUUGGUUUAAUUUCUCAGUAACAAGUAAUUAUCACCAAAAUCUCAUUCCUUUUUUGAAAUCAAAACAAAAGCCCAAGUUCCUAGAAAUUAUUAUACAGGGAUAAAUGAGGCACUGAAGGUGGGAGAACCAUGAAAUUACAGUUGAUCCUUGAACAACAUGGGUUUGAAUGGUGUGGGUCCACUUAUAUACAGGCCUUUUUCUGUAAGUAUAUUGGAAAAUUUUUUUGAGAUUUGUGGCAAUUUGAAAAAACAAACCAUGUAGCCUAGAAAUAUAGAAAAAUUAAAAAGUUAUAUAGAUACUAGCCUAUUUUAUCAUUUACUAUAAAAUACACACAAAUCUAUUAUAAAAAGUUAAAAUUUAUAAAAACAUACAAACAAACUGUACAUGGCACCAUUCACGGUUGAGAGAAAUGUAAACAAAGAUACAGUAUUAAAUCAUAACUGCAUAAAAUUAACUGUAGUACAUACUGAGCUACUAUAAUUAUUUUGUAGUUACCUCCUGUUGCUAUUGUGGUGAACUCAAGUGUCAAAAGAUCUGUUUAAAACACCAUGUGAUGCUAAUCAUCUCUGUGUGAGCAGUUCAUCUCUCCAUAAACCGUGGAUCACAGUAAAAAGUGAUCCCUUGCGGUUCUUGCAUAUUUUUCAUGGUUAGUGCAAUACUGUAAACCUUGAGGACAUAAAAACUGCAGGACCCAUAUGAAGCACCACCAGUCAU
rnacentral:lncRNA from 10 species